rnacentral:SRP_RNA from 1 species
GCCAGGCAUGGUGGCUCAUGCCUGUAAUCCCAGCACUUUGGGAGGCUGAGGUGGGUGGAUCACCUGAGGUCAGGAGUUCCAGACCAGCCUGGCCAAUAUGGUGAAACCCCGUCUCUA